GAUUAACGCUGGCGGCGUGCAUAACACAUGCAAGUCGAACGAUGAAACUUAGUAGACUUCUUCGGAAAGACACUAAGCGGAUUAGUGGCGAACGGGUGAGUAACGCGUGAGUAACCUGCCUUACACAAGGGGAUAGCCUUUGGAAACGAAGAAUAAUACCCUAUAAAACCAUAAAAGCACAUGCUAGAAUGGUCAAAGUGAUAGCGGUGUAAGAUGGACUUGCGUCUGAUUAGCUAGUUGGUGAGAUAAAAGCUCACCAAGGCAACGAUCAGUAGCCGGCUUGAGAGAGUGUACGGCCACAUUGGGACUGAGACACGGCCCAGACUCCUACGGGAGGAAGCAGUGGGGAAUUUUGCACAAUGGGGGAAACCCUGAUGCAGCGACGCCGCGUGAUCUAGAAGGCCUUAGGGUUGUAAAAAUCUUUUGUAUAGGAAGAAAAUGACAGUACUAUACGAAUAAGGUCCGGCUAAUUACGUG
rnacentral:rRNA from 1 species